rnacentral:snRNA from 1 species
AUACUUACCUGACGCGAGAGGCACCUUGAUCAACUAGGAGGUCCUCUCAGGAUGAGGCCCUUUCAUUGCACUUCGACUGGGUUGACUCCUGCGAUUACCCCUAAUGUGGGUAACUCGAGCGUAUAAUUUCUGGUAGUGGGGACCUGCGUUCGCGCGCGUCCCCU